GACGACGCUGGCGGCGGGCCUAACACAUGCAAGUCGAACGAGAUACCGGAGCUUGCUCCGGUGGAAAGUGGCGAACGGGUGAGUAACACGUGAGAAAUCUGUCCUAGAGACCGGGACAACCAUCGGAAACGAUGGCUAAUACCGGAUACCCUCACAUGGUCGCAUGGUCGAGUGAGGAAAUGCUCAGGUGCUCUAGGAGGAUCUCGCGGCCUAUCAGCUAGUUGGUGGGGUAACGGCCUACCAAGGCAUCGACGGGUAGCUGGUCUGAGAGGACGAUCAGCCACACUGGGACUGAGACACGGCCCAGACUCCUACGGGAGGCAGCAGUGGGGAAUAUUGCGCAAUGGGCGAAAGCCUGACGCAGCAACGCCGCGUGAGGGAUGACGGCUUUCGGGUUGUAAACCUCUUUCAGUGAUGACGAAAAUGACGGUAGUCACAGAAGAAGCUCCGGCCAACUACGUGCCAGCAGCCGCGGUAACACGUAGGGAGCGAGCGUUGUCCGGAUUUAUUGGGCGUAAAGAGCUCGUAGGCGGUUUCGUAAGUCGGAUGUGAAAACUCAGGGCUCAACCCUGAGACGCCAUCUGAUACUGCGAUGACUAGAGUCCGGUAGAGGAGCAUGGAAUUCCUGGUGUAGCGGUGGAAUGCGCAGAUAUCAGGAGGAACACCAACGGCGAAGGCAGUGCUCUGGGCCGGUACUGACGCUGAGGAGCGAAAGCAUGGGGAGCAAACAGGAUUAGAUACCCUGGUAGUCCAUGCCGUAAACGUUGGGCACUAGGUGUGGGGUCUUCUAACGGAUUCCGUGCCGUAGCUAACGCAUUAAGUGCCCCGCCUGGGGAGUACGGCCGCAAGGCUAAAACUCAAAGGAAUUGANGGGC
rnacentral:rRNA from 1 species